GAUGAACGCUGGCGGCGUGCCUAAUACAUGCAAGUCGAGCGAACGGACGAGAAGCUUGCUUCUCUGAUGUUAGCGGCGGACGGGUGAGUAACACGUGGAUAACCUACCUAUAAGACUGGGAUAACUUCGGGAAACCGGAUCUAAUACCGGAUAAUAUUUUGAACCGCAUGGUUCAAAAGUGAAAGACGGUCUUGCUGUCACUUAUAGAUGGAUCCGCGCUGCAUUAGCUAGUUGGUAAGGUAACGGCUUACCAAGGCAACGAUGCAUAGCCGACCUGAGAGGGUGAUCGGCCACCCUGGCACUGAGACACGGUCCAGACUCCUACGGGAGGCAGCAGUAGGGAAUCUUCCGCAAUGGGCGAGAGCCUGACGGAGCAACGCCGCGUGAGUGCUGAAGGUCUUCGGAUCGUAAAACUCUGUUAUUAGGGAAGAACAUAUGUGUAAGUAACUGUGCACAUAUUGACGGUACCUAAUCAGAAAGCCACGGCUAACUACGUG
rnacentral:rRNA from 1 species